rnacentral:rRNA from 1 species
GUGGGGAAUAUUGGACAAUGGGCGAAAGCCUGAUCCAGCCAUGCCGCGUGUGUGAAGAAGGUCUUCGGAUUGUAAAGCACUUUAAGUUGGGAGGAAGGGCAGUAAGUUAAUACCUUGCUGUUUUGACGUUACCGACAGAAUAAGCACCGGCUAACUUCGUGCCAGCAGCCGCGGUAAUACGAAGGGUGCAAGCGUUAAUCGGAAUUACUGGGCGUAAAGUGCGCGUAGGUGGUUUUGUAAGUUGGAGGUGAAAUCCCCGGGCUCAACCUGGGAACUGCCUCCAAAACUGCAUGACUAGAGUACGGUAGAGGGUAGUGGAAUUUCCUGUGUAGCGGUGAAAUGCGUAGAUAUAGGAAGGAACACCAGUGGCGAAGGCGACUACCUGGACUGAUACUGACACUGAGGUGCGAAAGCGUGGGGAGCAAACAGGAUUAGAAACCCUAGUAGUCC